GACGAACGCUGGCGGCGUGCUUAACACAUGCAAGUCGAACGGAAAGGCCCUGCUUGCAGGGUACUCGAGUGGCGAACGGGUGAGUAACACGUGGGUGUUCUGCCCUGCACUUCGGGAUAUGCCUGGGAAACUGGGUCUAAUAUCGGAUAGGAGCCAUUUUUCGUGUGAUGGUUGGAAAGUUUUUUCGGUGUAGGAUGAGCUCGCGGCCUAUCAGCUUGUUGGUUGGGUAAUGGCCUACCAAGGCGGCGACGGGUAGCCGGCCUGGGAGGGUGGACGGCCACAUUGGGGCUGGGGUACGGCCCAGACUCCUACGGGGGGCAGCAGUGGGGGAUAUUGGACAAUGGGCGCAAGCCUGAUGCAGCGACGCCGCGGGGGGGGUGAAGGCCUUCGGGUUGUAAACUCCUUUCGCUAGGGACGAAGCUUUGUGUGACGGUACCUAGAGAAGAAGCACCGGCUAACUACGUG
rnacentral:rRNA from 1 species